GACGAACGCUGGCGGCGUGCUUAACACAUGCAAGUCGAGCGGUAAGGCCCUUUCGGGGGUACACGAGCGGCGAACGGGUGAGUAACACGUGGGUGACCUGCCCUCAGCUCUGGGAUAAGCCUGGGAAACUGGGUCUAAUACUGGAUAUGACUCCACGGUGCAUGUCGUGGGGUGAAAGCCUUGUGCGGCUGAGGAUGGGCCCGCGGCCUAUCAGCUUGUUGGUGGGGUGAUGGCCUACCAAGGCGACGACGGGUAGCCGGCCUGAGAGGGCGACCGGCCACACUGGGACUGAGACACGGCCCAGACUCCUACGGGAGGCAGCAGUGGGGAAUCUUGCGCAAUGGGCGAAAGCCUGACGCAGCGACGCCGCGUGAGGGAUGACGGCCU
rnacentral:rRNA from 1 species